GUCAGUCGCCUUUUUUUAUUUCGUUUAAGGUGUAACGUAUACUUCAUUCGUUAUAAAAUUUUUUCCUCGUCGGCUCCAACGAGGUUGUUGUUAUUUGCGUAUCUUGGUUGGGUGCUAGUGAGGUGGGGUCAGCAGUCAGCUGUAUAUAACGUGACCAAUCAGAGUGACGUCGGUUCCUUCAUGAUUUUUAUCAUCCAAAACGCGUUCCUACAGUAUUGCAUUCCUAAACAUUUGAUAAGCAGAAAUCUAAGAGUUGUAGUUUCUGUGGGGUUGUGGGUAUCGACUGAUCCAAUGCCGCGAUCUCCAAUUUAUUCAUUUAUAACAUUUCUUUUUGAGUGAUAUCGAAAGACGCCAACUGCUUUUUGUUAUCUUGGCUUGGUACGCAAAUGUGACAAAAUGAUUCUUCACCUUGUUUCUCAGUCACCAUAACCAAAAUUGUUGUAAAAGAGUGAAAUGAAACUCGAUUGUAAAAUCAUGGUUCUGGAACAGUUUUACUUCUCGUUCGUUUUGAUGUGCUUUCAACUGCUGAGGAGCGACAUAAAUGUGAUGGGCGAAAGAAGGUGGACACGACAGAGAAGAAGGAUAUUGCGCUGGAAAGAGAUUUACGGAAUACAUACCCUCUUAUUAUAUCGAACUCCUUAAGCACAAGAUCUGGAAACACAAAGACAAUUGUCAUCCGUCGUCUGCUUUAUUCUCUUUACUUUGUGGGUGAUGGAGAAAGAGCUAAAAUAUUCAAAAUUAAAUUUUGAGUUCAACCUGCAGACGGGCCGGCCAGUUUGCAUGUCCU